CGGCCCAGACUCCUACGGGAGGCAGCAGUGGGGAAUAUUGGACAAUGGGGGGAACCCUGAUCCAGCCAUGCCGCGUGUGUGAAGAAGGCCUUAUGGUUGUAAAGCACUUUAAGCGAGGAGGAGGCUCUUUUGGUUAAUACCCAGAAUGAGUGGACGUUACUCGCAGAAUAAGCACCGGCUAACUCUGUGCCAGCAGCCGCGGUAAUACAGAGGGUGCAAGCGUUAAUCGGAUUUACUGGGCGUAAAGCGCGCGUAGGCGGCCAAUUAAGUCAAAUGUGAAAUCCCCGAGCUUAACUUGGGAAUUGCAUUCGAUACUGGUUGGCUAGAGUGUGGGAGAGGAUGGUAGAAUUCCAGGUGUAGCGGUGAAAUGCGUAGAGAUUUGGAGGAAUACCGAUGGCGAAGGCAGCCAUCUGGCCUAACACUGACGCUGAGGUGCGAAAGCAUGGGGAGCAAACAGGAUUAGAUACCCUGGUAGUCCAUGCCGUAAACGAUGUCUACUAGCCGUUGGGGCCUUGAGGCUUUAGUGGCGCAGCUAACGCGAUAAGUAGACCGCCUGGGGAGUACGGUCGCAAGACUAAAACUCAAAUGAAUUGACGGGGGCCCGCACAAGCGGUGGAGCAUGUGGUUUAAUUCGAUGCAACGCGAAGAACCUUACCUGGCCUUGACAUAGUAGAAACUUUCCAGAGAUGGAUUGGUGCCUUCGGGAAUCUACAUACAGGUGCUGCAUGGCUGUCGUCAGCUCGUGUCGUGAGAUGUUGGGUUAAGUCCCGCAACGAGCGCAACCCUUUUCCUUACUUGCCAGCAUUUCGGAUGGGAACUUUAAGGAUACUGCCAGUGACAAACUGGAGGAAGGCGGGGACGACGUCAAGUCAUCAUGGCCCUUACGGCCAGGGCUACACACGUGCUACAAUGGUCGGUACAAAGGGUUGCUACCUAGCGAUAGGAUGCUAAUCUCAAAAAGCCGAUCGUAGUCCGGAUUGGAGUCUGCAACUCGACUCCAUGAAGUCGGAAUCGCUAGUAAUCGCGGAUCAGAAUGCCGCGGUGAAUACGUUCCCGGGCCUUGUACACACCGCCCGUCACACCAUGGGAGUUUGUUGCACCAGAAGUAGCUAGCCUAACUGCAAAGAGGGCGGUUACCACGGUGUGGCCGAUGACUGGGGUGAAGUCGUAACAAGGUA
rnacentral:rRNA from 1 species